rnacentral:lncRNA from 1 species
CGCAGGUCAGGAGGCGCGAGCGAGCCGGAAGCGCAGCCGCUGACUGGCCACCGGAAGCACAGCCGCCUGUGGCCUCCCAGGAGCUGUGCAGUUAGAAAGGAUUGUUAGCAAUUUGAAAGGAUUGUUAGCAAAGGGGGAAAGGAGGUUUGGAAGACCGAGGACCUGGCGCGGUGGAAAGGCUUUGACAGCGAGGACGACACGUGGAAGCGGAGCAGCACUUGGUGAACGGCGAGGUCAUCCAUGACUUCAGGUGCCACAGAGAAGCAGAAAGAGAGCGCGCUGACCUGAACCAGUGGGAGCUCACCCGACAAUGUCAGUAAGUGGAUUUCCAGGUCUGCCAACAACCGCUUCUCCAAGACUCCCCUGAGGCACUAGUGAUCAGCAGGGACCACGAGCCCCAAAAGAGAGUGUGCUGGCGACCAGCCAGGAGUUCAGGAGAAACACAGACCCUUUCCGUCCAGCAGAAAGAACAUGGACCUUGCAGAGUCAAGUACCUAGAUCCUUGGGCCUAAGAGCCCCAUUAAGAGCAGGACGGCUUUCCCAGUGAGAGACCUGAGGAACGACCCCCUGGAGCAGGGUCCAGAGGACAAGGUGGCGUCAGAAGUGGCAGCAGCGAAACCGAUGGGAGCUUUAUUGGGCUCUGGUGCCUGCUGAGCGAGCCAGGAUGAGGAACAGGCCCUGAAUAUACCCACUAGCUUCUCAGGUGCCAGACUGUGGCCACCGGUACAUCCCUGUUCAUAGUUGUCCAUAGCCAGUGGACAUAAACGUCUAUUACAGGAGUGACAGCCAGGGAAAGGAAAUUUAUUAAGGACAGAAGAGACCAGCCUUUUGACAAGUGGUUGCGUUUCAGUGUGAGGCAAACACAGAGUGCCUACAUGUACAGAACUAUUGCUCUGCAGCAAGAUGGCUUCACCCAUGUCUUGUUACCCACAAAAUCAUCAGAGAAUAACUCACUGAAUCCAGAGGUAAUAGAAGAGGUCCAAGCGCUCUGAACAUGGCUGCUGCCGGCGACGACAAGCUGGUGCUGCUCAGCUAAGUUGGCAGUGUCUUAUGCUGUGGUCUCUUUAUUUCGUAUGGUGAAUCACAGAUGACAGGAAAAGAGGAAGCAAUAAAAUGCCAACUAUGGACUGAAACCUUUACAACUUGUGAGCCAAAAUAAACCUCUACACCUUUGACUUGUAGGUGUUGGGCAUUUUGUCUCAACAACGAGAAAGUAACUAAGGAAGUCAUGGUUCAGUCAGUUAUGCUGGAGGAGUCCAAGGCCCUGGGAUGCUGUAACAUGAAGCUGGAUCUGGAGCAGGCCAGAGGGAGUGCGAGGUGCUGAAGAAGAUCUGGGGCUUGGGCCAGGGCAUGGACUCCACGUUAAAGUACUUGCAGAGGAAAAUUGAUGAAGUUUGCUUUGCAGCCACAUGUGGAUGACACUAGAACUUGUUUGAGUAGGACAUUAGUGGCUCCCAGUUGGCAUAAUCCAUCCCCUAGUCUGAAACACAUUCACCUGUCGUUCAUCCUUGGAAGCAGGACUGGAAACAUCCAAGCUACUCAUUUCUGAGUUUUAAGUCCUAUAUCUUUAAAAUAAAUAACUACAAAGCUCCUUUUUACAAAUAUCAUUAUUUUACACUUACAUGCAUACAACUAUAAAAGCAUAAUGGUAAGCAAUAGACGGCUUGUGGAAGCUCCGAUUUUCUGUCCUUUGGCUAGUACUGUAUUAAAAAAAAACAAUUGUGUUUUACUCAUCUGGGUGAAAGAAAAGUCAGGAAUAAUAUCUCUUUUCCUCAGUUUUUCCUAAUAAAGGGGACUAGCCAGCUUCACCUUCCCUACCCUAAAUAGAGAUACAAAGAUAUCUGGGAUAUUUCCUUAGUCUCCAAGGAAGGAGGUACAGGUACUUUAGAGAUGGACAAUUCUAAAUCAAAAUUAAAACUUACCUUUUAGGAAAGAUCUUUCUGAUAAACAGUCUCAGCAAGCACUUAGGAUUCAUGCUGAGAUAGCAAUGGGUUUUCCCUUUUUUUCCUAAUAUAUCCGGUUCUGACGCAGUGAACUUGCAGAAACUACUGUCUCUCUAGAAGAAAGCACAUUUUGUUUGCAG